rnacentral:rRNA from 1 species
GCAACCCCGAUGGAACCGGCAGCGUUCACGGUGGUUUGUUUGGUACCGGCUGCCGAGCAAUCGGCGGGACUAGCCAUGAGCGCGGACAAGCAGGUUGUGAGGAAGACAUGGCAAAAGGUGUGAGAUGAAAGGCGUCUCCGCAGGUGUCCGAGAUGUCCACCGGGAAUAUGAAGUUCCUACAGUCCUACAGGCACCUGGUUGGGCUAAGAGGUGUGUUUCCCUAAAUCAAUCAAAUCAGUAUGCAUUGCUGAAUAUUUGUUGUUGAGCGAUUAGGAGUGAUGCUGUCAUACGUGUAUUGACGUCCCCUUGGGGUUCAGAACAUUCAGACAAGUAGUUGAUGCUGUUCUUAAGUAGUGUACGGUUAUGAAUGGAUGAUGAUCUAUCCAGCUUGGAGCAUGUUGUUACUAAUUCGAAGGUUGCUGUACAAUUGGUUAUGAGUUAUGAUUUAUGGGGAGUGCUUUGUAGUUAGUUCAUGUAUGAGUCUUGUUGGAUGCUUGCUUCUGAAUUUAGCUGCGCAAUGGAAUCGAGAUCAUGAUGCACAAU